rnacentral:lncRNA from 1 species
AUCUAGGGUUAUUCUCUAUUUGCCGCACAUAACGUGAUAUACAACAUCUGCACUACUUGGAGCAGCUGUAAGAGAAGUCUAAACAAGUAGAUGAACUAAUCCAGCAAUUAUGCGCUCAGUCCCUCCUGGCCAGCCAGGCGAAAGCGAAACUGAACCGGUUUAUCUCUUCUUCUGUUGUAACAUGUGAGGUGAGUCGUGCAGCUUGAAAUAGCCAUUAGAACUUACAAACUCAUAAAUUCAUGUGCAUCUGAGGAGACACACGAUGUGCUUUAUAAUACCAUUCUUGAUAUGAAUCUCGCCAUCAACUCCUUACCUAGCACCUCCAUGUAUUAUUUCUGAUGCUAACUUAAUUUUCAUAGUCUUUUUCAGGUUGAAGGACUUGCUCAUCGUAUAUUCAAAGUUAAAUUGGAUACAUGCAUUCAUAGUUCCUGAUGGAAUAAAUUUUGUUAUUUUGUUAUUUUGUUUAGGAAUAUAGUUAUGGAAAUAGUUGUUCUGCUCAGGC